GUCCACGCUGUAAACGAUGAGUGCUAGAUGUUGGUGGAGAAAUCCAUCAGUGUCGCAGCUAACGCAUUAAGCACUCCGCCUGGGGAGUACGGUCGCAAGAUUAAAACUCAAAGGAAUUGACGGGGGCUCGAACAAGCGGUGGAGUAUGUGGUUUAAUUCGACGCAACGCGAAAAACCUUACCAGCUCUUGACAUGGGAAUUGUGGAGACCAGAGAUGGUUUCCUUCGGUUCGGCCGGGUUCCACACAGGUGCUGCAUGGCUGUCGU
rnacentral:rRNA from 1 species